rnacentral:rRNA from 1 species
GACGAACGCUGGCGGCGUGCCUAAUACAUGCAAGUCGAACGCAGUGGGGACGGGUGAGUAACACGUGGGUAACCUCCCAUCAGAGGGGAGAACACUGGGAAAUAGGUUCUAAUCCGAUACUGAUGGAUGGACUCGCGGUGCAUUAGCUAGCUGGUGAGGUAACGGCUCACCAAGGCCACGAUGCAUAGCCGAACUGAGAGGGUGGUCGGACCCUCUGGGACUGGGACACGGCCCAGCCUGCGUCUGAAGAGCCCAGUCGGGCGUCUUCGGACGUUAGCGAAGGUCUGACCGAACAACACCGCGUGAGUGACGCCGGUAUUCGGAUCGUAAGACUCUGUUGUUAGAAAGGCGGUAUCUAACCAGAAAGCCACGGCUAACUACGUGCCAGCCGCCGCGGUAAUUC